AUCCAGCUGACGAGUCCUAAUUAGAACGAAGUGGCGCACGUUCUGGAU
rfam:Schistosoma rodhaini strain Burundi genome assembly, scaffold: SROB_scaffold0009892